ACUUUUAAAGGAUAGAAGUCAUCCGUUGGUCUUAGGAACCAAAAAAUUGGUGAACUCCAAAUAAAAGUA
rnacentral:tRNA from 1 species